GACGAACGCUGGCGGUGUGCUUCACACAUGCAAGUCGAACGAGGUAGCAAUACCUAGUGGCGGACGGGUGAGUAACGCGUGGGAAUCUGCCUUUGGAUGGGGGAUAACGGGUCGAAAGACUCGCUAAUACCGCAUAUGACGAAAGUUGAAAGGAGUAAUCCGUCUAAAGAUGAGCCCGCGUCCGAUUAGCUAGUUGGUAGAGUAAAAGCCUACCAAGGCGACGAUCGGUAGCUGGUCUGAGAGGAUGAUCAGCCACAAUGGGACUGAGACACGGCCCAUACUCCUACGGGAGGCAGCAGUGGGGAAUUUUACGCAAUGGGCGAAAGCCUGACGUAGCGACACCGCGUGAGCGAAGAAGCCCCUUGGGGUGUAAAGCUCUGUCAGCUGGAACGAAAAAAUGACGGUACCAGCAGAGGAAGCAUCGGCUAACUACGUG
rnacentral:rRNA from 1 species